GCAGAGGUACCCGAGUGGUCAAAGGGGCUGGGAUGAGGUCCCAGUGCGUAGUGCUUCGCAGGUUCAAAUCCUGUCCUCUGCACCACCC
rnacentral:tRNA from 1 species